UAGGCCCCCUGGCGGGAUCGUGAGUUACAAAGUUGCACGCAGGAGUUGGGGUUGGAGGAGAAGAAGCAGCUGUGUACUCGAGGAUUGCGGGCUCCGCGGGACGCUGUUCACUGGGGCCAGGUUUUGCAGACCUGGCCAUGUGAAAAGCCCACGGAGGGGAUUCGGAAGCCCUGGAAUCUCCCCUUAAGUUAAAUCUGGGGUGGAGGUGAACAGGGAGGAUAAUAAAGAGAGGUCAAUACCAUCUGGAUAAAGCUGGGGAGAAAAGGUAGAAUGACUCCCCCAGCUCUCUCUGGUGACACUGGCUCCGGGAACCCUGCCACUGUGCUGUGAGGAGGCUAAGGCCACAUGCCGAGGGUCCAGGCAGGUGUUCUGGCUGCAGCCCCAGGUGAGGUUCCAGUUAACAGCCAGCAUCGACCAUCAGACAUGCAAGUGAAGAGUUUUCAGAAGGUCCCAGCAUCAAGCAGUCCUUCCAGGCCCCUUCCCUUACAGCAGUCACUUCCCUCCACUCCGGGCAAAGAUGAGCUAAGUGAAUGAUCGCUAUUGUUCUAAGCCGCCAAGUUACAGGCUGUUUUGUUGUGCUGCGAUGGAUAACCAGAGCACAGAAAGGCCACAGUAAACCUCGGUGGAUCAUUAUUGCUGUCUGUCUUUUGCUCACACUCCAUGUUCCCCGUUUACAGCAAAUCCAAACACAUCCCAAGUCCAACCCUUUCAAGUUCAAGCCACCGUCACCUCUGGCCUGGAGGACUUAAAGUAAACUGUUUCUACUUUGCCUUCCUGUUGUCUCUUCUCCACCCAGCCUGCGAACCAGCUCUUAGAAACAAAAGUAUGAUCAUGCCUUUCUCUGCUCUGAAGCCUCCAAUGGCUUCCUGUCACACCUGGAAUAAAAUCCAAACCCUGACUGUUGCCUACAAACACUGGUGUGCUGGUAAGUGGUAUGUCUGCUCUCAAAAAAAAAAAAAAAAGCC